GGGGUGUGCUCAGAGCAAGUGGCCUGAAGAAUGGCAUCUCUGGCACAGCACACACAACAGGAAUCUGGGGUCAUGUGACAAGGGGCCAGAACCUGUGACCUCCUACACUUGUACUCACAGGC
rnacentral:snoRNA from 1 species